GUGGAGCAUGUGGUUUAAUUCGAAGCAACGCGAAGAACCUUACCAAAUCUUGACAUCCUUUGACCGCUCUAGAGAUAGAGUUUUCCCCUUCGGGGGACAAAGUGACAGGUGGUGCAUGGUUGUCGUCAGCUCGUGUCGUGAGAUGUUGGGUUAAGUCCCGCAACGAGCGCAACCCUUAAGCUUAGUUGCCAUCAUUAAGUUGGGCACUCUAAGUUGACUGCCGGUGACAAACCGGAGGAAGGUGGGGAUGACGUCAAAUCAUCAUGCCCCUUAUGAUUUGGGCUACACACGUGCUACAAUGGACAAUACAAAGGGCAGCUAAACCGCGAGGUCAAGCAAAUCCCAUAAAGUUGUUCUCAGUUCGGAUUGUAGUCUGCAACUCGACUACAUGAAGCUGGAAUCGCUAGUAAUCGUAGAUCAGCAUGCUACGGUGAAUACGUUCCCGGGUCUUGUACACACCGCCCGUCACACCACGAGAGUUUGUAACACCCGAAGCCGGUGGAGUAACCAUUUAUGGAGCUAGCCGUCGAAGGUGGGACAAAUGAUUGGGGUGAAGUCGUAACAAGGUAACCGUA
rnacentral:rRNA from 1 species